GUGAAGGCAAUGCAGCUGUGUGAUAGGAAGGGGUGUAGCCUGGCUGCACCUCUCUUAGACCUUAUUUAAGGGCUGACUGCCCCUGGGGAAGGGUCUCUUUCUGGGGAUCCCUCUUUGGUGGAGCUUUCUGCUGUGAAGCUGGAAUCUUCUGAUAUGGAGUUGGUGCCAGUGGCUGACAUCUGACAUCCAAAGCCCAAGGCGAUGGGCACGUGGUGGAAGGUGAUGACCUACUUAUGGCUGCAUCAGCAGGGAAGAGAAUGAACGCUAUAAGAGAAGUGGACCAUUCAUUGACAUCAGAGCCCAGAUAUGAUGGCAACUAGCUUUCAAGUAUGGGUUGUUUGUAUCCAGAGAGAGAAACUGCACCUUUCCUGAUGGGGUGCUUAAAGCCAGACAGAAUUCAGAUGCCAACAGAAAGCUCCAGACUGCCACAGGAGGAGAAGAAAGGAAGACGAGAAGAAAGAAAAUGAGAUGGGAUUUUCCUUAUCUUCCGCUUGCUGUGGGAACUGCUGAGCACAUGCUGUAAGCUGGAGCAGCACGACACGACUCUGCUGUCAGCAGCAGGUUCAAUUAGGAAUGUUUUACAGCCCAAUGGCACGAGCAGGGCGACCUUGGUGGGAGCCAUUUAUGUUUUGAUGACCUGAUGUCAGUCAAACGGGAGUCAAAUUUAUCCCAGCCCACGUUAAUGACAUGAAAACUCAUGGUUGGCCCAGUGUGGCCAAUGACUGGCAAUGGCAGACCCACACCUCUGGCAGAGGUUUGUCCCACCUGUGCUGGCUGCCUCCCAAUGCAAAGUUCUUGGCUUAGCCUGCAGGAAGUUAAAGCUCCCAGCCUCCUGCAAUCACAGCAACAGAUAUACACUAAUUUCUGUUCUUGAAAGAUAUAUUUUUCAUAAAUUUCACUUUCAGUGUUUGCAGUGUGGGCUCUUUCCCAAACAAAGCAGCCAGCGACUGAGCCUGGGUUUAUUGCCUCCACAAUCCAAAUUGCAGCUAUUAUCGCUAUCUACAACCUGCAAUUAUCCUCAGCUUGCAUAUUUCAUUUCUUUAUCAACACAUACUUUGCGCUGAUGAGAGGUGAUAGACUGGCAGCUCGGGAAGCCACGGCUGCUCUCCUACCAGCAGCUGCAAAGGCAGAGAGCAGCCCCUCACUCACUGCAGCAGCUGUGUGAUUGCUGCAGCAUUCAGGGACACAGAGCAUCUCAUGGUGGUGAGGGGAGUUCUGAUGCAUCUCAGGCCUCCCUGCUUUCCUCUGCCUUACUCUGUGCAGAAUGAAGGAGCCCACCAUUUCAUGCAUUUUUCAUGGCCCUGCGGUGUUAUCCAUCCCUUGUGCUGCCUCAGCAGUUUUUGUUUCCUCUGCCAUGAUAGGGAUUGAUUUACCCAUCCCUAAAGAUCUUCAGGCUGCCAGGCUGGAGGGUUCUACCAUGCUGGGGCUGCUGUGCAGCUGCGUUUCCUGGGAUACUCCUAUUUCAUCCAGCAAUCCUGUCUGGGUGAAGUAGAAGUAGGACUUAAUAAUAACAACUUUGGUCACCGGGCAAGUUUGUAGAUUGAAAUGGCAAUGAGAUCUGGCUACCAGAUGCCUUUGGGAGGCUCAGUGACUGCUCAACGGGGAACCAAGCUGAAAUGUUUGGCUCUAUUCUUCAUUUCAAAGUAACUGCGUUGCAGAAUGUCAUUCUGUUGAAAAUCAACAAAUCCACAGUCUCAAGAAGGGCUGCAGGGGAGACCCCAGAGUGCUUCCUUUCCUUCGUGCUGUGCCCACCAUGUGGAAUACAGAGCCAAUUUAGAUGGCAAUAUGCGCUAAACUGUGCAGGGAGCUGAAGCCGUGUGAGGACACAGGGGGCAUACAAAGCAGAGGAUGAGCACAGAUCACAGCAGAGGAAGUUAUCUGGGAUUUCUUCCAUCUUGUGGAGACCCCGUGAUCCGCUUGCCAAUGCCCUGCACUGAACAAAGCUGCUGGCUUUCUGUGGGUGGCAGUGAAGGAACGAUUUUUGCUUCUCUCCUCCCUUCUCACCCCAAGAAAAUAAUGUUUGGAAACACAUCUGAGUCGCAGAAGUCUAAAACUGCCUGGAAAUCCCACCUUCAACCACGUGAACUGCAUUUCACUUUUAUUUCACUUUAUUGGGUCUUCAUUUUAAUAUGAUUAGUUUAUAGGAUUUCUUGACAGAGCAGUAGUAGAACAGCACAAUAUAUAUGGCUGUCAAUGUCAUACUAAAUAACCAAAUAAACUCUGUUAAGCUCUGUAUGUUUAUAUCUGUUUUUUAUUCUGUUUUCAAAUCCACUGAGG
ensembl:lncRNA